UCAACUGUCAGGUUAAAUGCAUUAUGGGCUUUGAAGAACAUGGUGUUUCUGGCAGAUGAUAGAUGUAAAGAAGGAAUUUUUAUGGAGCUCACUGCUUCUUUGUUAGCAAGCCUUAUCUGUGACCACAAUCCUUUUGUUCAAGAGCAAGCUCUGGCCCUUGUUCGGAAUCUUAUUGAUGGGUGUAUAAGCUCGGUUGAGUAUGUCUUCACUGAGAAUGGUAUUAUAUUAGAUGCUGUUAGAAAGC
rnacentral:misc_RNA from 1 species